rnacentral:rRNA from 1 species
CCUACGGGGGGCAGCAGUGGGGAAUAUUGCGCAAUGGGGGCAACCCUGACGCAGCAACGCCGCGUGAUUGAUGAAGGUCUUCGGGUUGUAAAAAUCUUUAAUCAGGGACGAAACAAAUGACGGUACCUGAAGAAUAAGCUCCGGCUAACUACGUGCCAGCAGCCGCGGUAAUACGUAGGGAGCAUGCGUUAUCCGGAUUUACUGGGUGUAAAGGGCGUGUAGGCGGGCUUGUAAGUUGGAAGUGAAAUCUCGGGGCUUAACCCCGAAACUGCUUUCAAAACUGCGAGUCUUGAGUGAUGGAGAGGCAGGCGGAAUUCCCAGUGUAGCGGUGAAAUGCGUAGAUAUUGGGAGGAACACCAGUGGCGAAGGCGGCCUGCUGGACAUUAACUGACGCUGAGGCGCGAAAGCGUGGGGAGCAAACAGGAUUAGAUACCCUGUAGUC